GGGAGAUGGCUUAGUUAAGUACUUGCCUUGUAAGCAUAAGGACCUGAGUUCAAUUCCCAGAACUCCUG
rnacentral:tRNA from 1 species